CCUACGGGAGGUAGCAGUGAGGAAUAUUGGUCAAUGGGCGGAAGCCUGAACCAGCCAAGUAGCGUGCGGGAUGAAGGCCCUACGGGUGGUAAACCGCUUUUGCCCGGGGAUAACACCCUCCACUUGUGGAGGCCUGCAGGUACCGUGCGAAUAAGGGCCGGCUAAUUCCGUGCCAGCAGCCGCGGUAAUACGGAAGUCCCGAGCGUUAUCCGGAUUCAUUGGGCUAAAAGGGAGCGUAGGCGGGCGUUCAAGUCAGCUGUAAAAUCGCGCGGCUCAACCGCGCCCCGCAGUUGAAACUGGACGCAUUGAGUUCACAACAGGCAGGCGGAAUUCGUGGUGUAGCGGUGAAAUGCAUAGAUAUCACGAGGAACCCCGAUUGCGAAGGCAGCCUGCCGGGGUGCGACUGACGCUGAGGCUCGAAGGUGCGGGUAUCAAACAGGAUUAGAUACCCUAGUAGUC
rnacentral:rRNA from 1 species